rnacentral:rRNA from 1 species
GAUGAACGCUGGCGGCGUGCCUAAUACAUGCAAGUCGAGCGAACAGAUAAGGAGCUUGCUCCUUUGACGUUAGCGGCGGACGGGUGAGUAACACGUGGAUAACCUACCUAUAAGACUGGGAUAACUUCGGGAAACCGGAGCUAAUACCGGAUAACAUAUUGAACCGCAUGGUUCAAUAGUGAAAGGCGGCUUUGCUGUCACUUAUAGAUGGAUCCGCGCCGUAUUAGCUAGUUGGUAAGGUAACGGCUUACCAAGGCAACGAUACGUAGCCGACCUGAGAGGGGGAUGGGCCAAAAUGGAACUGAGACACGGGCCAGAACCCUAGGGGGGGCAGGAGGGGGGAAUCUUCCGCAAGGGGAGAAAGCAUGACGGAGAAACGCCGCGGGAGUGAAGAAGGUCUUGGGAGCGUAAAACUCUGUUAACAGGGAAAAAAAAAUGGGAAAGUAACGGUGAACAUUUGGACGGAACCUGAUCAGAAAGCCACGGCAAACUACGG